rnacentral:lncRNA from 1 species
ACUGAGCCAGAAACAGUGUGGAAACUCUGAAUCCGGCUGCAGACGGAAAUUUGCAAUUUAUCAGCAUUCAGGUGGUGAAUGAGUUUGUAGGAGGCGAAGAGAUUCCUUUUCCCCUAGGGCAGCAGUUUUUCAGUCAACAGUAAUGACUCCAGCGGCACCGCCGAGUUUGAGCUGCAGAAAUGGCGGUGAUGGGAGACAGAGACAAGCGAAAGUACCAGAAGGGAAAAUGAGGGUCUGACAUGGGCAUCUUUCCGCAGGAACAGAGAGAAAGUUCAGACAGAGUAAAUCUGCAAACCCAGAACUUGGUGACUCAGCUACCAACGGAAACCGAGACACAAUGAGAAGUUCUGGAGAAGCCCUUGGCGCUGUAAGUUACAAUGGAGGACAGAGCAACCGCAGAAAGAACUGAUGGACACAGACGAAGAGGAGCCCAGGUCCAGGUCGUUCCUCAUGGACCACUGGCUGUGGAAUGUGCAAAUAAACUUGUCACUAGGCAGACAAAACAGCAGUGUUACUCUAAGCUCUGCAGGAACUUACCAUCUCCUAUACAGAACUCUGUGGAGGGACACCCUAGCCUCAUUCACUUUGUUCAAGGAAAAGAGGCAGCAGCAGCUACCAGACAAACGAGAUCUGUGGACGGAUCUGAAUUCGGCUUUUCCUUACUGGCCAUUGACUUAAUUAUUUGACUUGGACAAACUAAUACCAGUAUAUAAAAUAUAAUUGUUUGACAGGCAAUAAAUAUUAAGGUAUUUUC